GAUGAACGCUAGCGGGAGGCUUAACACAUGCAAGUCGAGGGGUAAAUGGUAGCAAUACUAUGAGACCGGCGGACGGGUGCGUAACGCGUAUGCAACAUACCUUGUGCAGGGGGAUAGCCCGUGGAAACGCGGAUUAAUAUUCCAUAGUCCAGCUAUAUCGCAUGGUAUAGUUGGUAAAGAUUUAUCGGCACAAGUUUGGCAUGCGUCUGAUUAGCUUGUUGGUAGGGUAACGGCCUACCAAGGCUACGAUCAGUAGGGGUUCUGAGAGGAUUAACCCCCACACUGGUACUGAGACACGGACCAGACUCCUACGGGAGGCAGCAGUGAGGAAUAUUGGUCAAUGGGCGGAAGCCUGAACCAGCCAUCCGCGUGAAGGAAGACAGCCUUACGGGUUGUAAACUUCUUUUCUGUCAGAAGAAUAAGCUUGUCGAGACGAGUGAUGCCGGUAUGACAGGAAUAAGCAUCGGCUAACUCCGUGCCAGCAGCCGCGGUAAAA
rnacentral:rRNA from 1 species